AACGAACGCUGGCGGCAUGCCUAACACAUGCAAGUCGAACGAGACCUUCGGGUCUAGUGGCGCACGGGUGCGUAACGCGUGGGAACCUGCCCUUAGGUUCGGAAUAACUCCCCGAAAGGGGUGCUAAUACCGGAUAAUGUCUUCGGACCAAAGAUUUAUCGCCUUUGGAUGGGCCCGCGUUGGAUUAGCUAGUUGGUAGGGUAAAAGCCUACCAAGGCGACGAUGCAUAGCUGGUCUGGGAGGAUGAUCAGCCACACUGGGACUGAGACACGGCCCAGACUCCUACGCGAGGCAGCAGUGGGGAAUAUUGGACGCUGGGCGAAAGCCUGAUCCAGCAAUGCGGCGUGAGUGAUGAAGGCGUUAGGGUUGUAAAGCUCUUUUACCCGAGAUGAUAAUGACGGUACCGGGAGAAUAAGCACCGGCUAACUACGUG
rnacentral:rRNA from 1 species